UACGGGGGGAGCAAGCGUUGUUCGGAAUUACUGGGCGUAAAGGGCGCGUAGGCGGCCUGCUAAGUCGGACGUGAAAUCCCUCGGCUCAACCGGGGAACUGCGUCCGAUACUGGUGGGCUUGAAUCCGGGAGAGGGAUGUGGAAUUCCAGGUGUAGCGGUGAAAUGCGUAGAUAUCUGGAGGAACACCGGUGGCGAAGGCGGCAUCCUGGACCGGUAUUGACGCUGAUGCGCGAAAGCCAGGGGAGCAAACGGG
rnacentral:rRNA from 1 species